rnacentral:rRNA from 1 species
UACGUAGGGGGGCAAGCGUUGUCCGGAAUCAUUGGGCGUAAAGAGCGUGUAGGCGGCUUGGUAAGUCCGCUGUGAAAGUCCAGGGCUCAACCCUGGAAAGCCGGUGGAAACUGUCAAGCUUGAGUCCGGAAGAGGCGAGUGGAAUUCCUGGUGUAGCGGUGAAAUGCGCAGAUAUCAGGAGGAACACCAAUGGCGAAGGCAGCUCGCUGGGACGGUACUGACGCUGGAGACGCGAAAGCGUGGGGAGCAAACAGG